UCACGCUCUGUCUCUCGAAAAUAAACAUUUUUUUAAUGUAAAAACGAAAAGAAAAGAAAAACAACAACAAAAGCAGCAGGAAGACCUGGACUACCAUUUAUAGUGGUCUCAGGUGCACUUAGAAAGAUGUUCAAUAACAGUUGUCAAACCCUCCCAGAAUAACUUCAAUGGCAAGGAACCUAAUUCAUAGCACAGGCCACCAUUCCAGCUCUCCAAGAACUGCAAGAUAUUGGGGAAGCCGCCAAGCAUAUCACUACUCAGGGGCUUCAAAAGCUGGGUGCCGAGCUCAAAGCGUCUCUUAAGCAGGAUCUUGAAGCGGGAGCAGGGCUUAGCCUUCCGUAGGACACCUAGCGCACCCCAAGUGGAAGACUUGUCUUACAAGGUAGGAGGUGGGCAGGUGAGCCAGGAGGAGCCCUUCCGGCCACGUCUUUUUGAAUUCGGUAAAACCUUUCUCCUACAACCUUCAAACCUGACUCCAAUGAUAAUUUUCACAAUAAACUCCAUUUCCGUAA